GUUCAACAGAAGAGAAGGAAUGUGCGUUCUUUAUUAGGAAGUGGACACAUUACAUUACAAGCAAAAGAGAGAGACAGAAGGAAGAAGUUCCAGUUAGUCCUGACAUAAGGUCCAGAAGCCGAGACUGGUCAUCUGUUUUGCACACUAUGACACUAUGGUGAAUGAGCAACAGAGGAGAUUGCUGCUCCUCAGUGAUGAGGGAAACACUCAGCACAUGACUGAAAAAGGAAGUACUGGUGCAGCAAGAAAGCAGCCUAACAGAACUCCUGAAAGAUGAACUUGCUCUUUGAAGGUGAAGGCAAUCCCAUCUAAUCCAGAUCCUGUUACCAGUAUCUUGUGGCUGUGAAUUCUGACAACAGAAAUUAUAGUGGCCAUCCUGAUGCAACCUGAAUGGUACAGCACAGUGUUGUGAUGUUGCCCUGUAACUUGUGGACACAACUGAUCUAAUGAUCCCGGCUCUUGGACCUGACUGGCUGGCUGGCUGCCCCUUCAUGGAGAGAUAACCCAAGAUGUUUUGAUGCCUGAGGCAGAAAAUACAAAUGGCAUCAGCAUUUGUGAUGGAAGAAAACAAAAACAAAUGAAAGUUGCAAUCCUAUGACACUUAGCAGGGAAUAAGUACUGUGGAGCUUAACUGGACUUAAUUCUGACUAAACAUGCAUGCACAGGAUUGGACUACAUUUAUUAACACUUUAGUAACUCAACAACUGCUUUGGUGUGUGACAUUUGAUAGAAUCAGAUCACAACUAUAUGUUGAUCUUUGCCUCGGCAGUCAAAUUGCUGUUUGGAAACAGAAUUGCUUUGGUUCUCUCCCCACCCACUAAAUAGAAAAGAAGCCCCAUUGAACUCUGCUCUGGAAAGAAGAAAUCAUGGAUUUCAGUCACAAUUUUCUCCCUAUGUGAACUGGAUGGGUUGGGGGAUAAUUACAAGCCUUCCCCUUCUCCCAUGAGAAGAGGGCAUGCCAUCAUGGUAGGUGAUGGAAGCAGAUAAAUUAUGUAUGUAUGUAUGUAUGUUUGCCACCCGGUAUAUUUGUAUACCGCCCAAAAUGCAAGUUCUCUGGGCGGUUUACAAAACAAUAAAAACAACCAAUAAAAAAGAUUAACAUAU